rnacentral:sRNA from 1 species
CUGUCUAUCGUUAGCUACGGUGAAGAGAAGCCUCUAGUUCUAGGUCAAUCAGAAGAAGCGUACGCGAAAAACCGUCGUGCAGUUCUGGUUUACUAAUUGAGGUGAUGCCUCAUGUUCAGUAACUUAAAGC